rnacentral:rRNA from 1 species
AUGAACGCUGGCGGCGUGCCUAAUACCUGCAAGUCGAGCGAACAGACGAGGAGCUUGCUCCUCUGACGUUAGCGGCGGACGGGUGAGUAACACGUGGAUAACCUACCUAUAAGACUGGGAUAACUUCGGGAAACCGGAGCUAAUACCGGAUAAUAUAUUGAACCGCAUGGUUCAAUAGUGAAAGACGGUUUUGCUGUCACUUAUAGAUGGAUCCGCGCCGCAUUAGCUAGUUGGUAAGGUAACGGCUUACCAAGGCAACGAUGCGUAGCCGACCUGAGAGGGUGAUCGGCCACACUGGAACUGAGACACGGUCCAGACUCCUACGGGAGGCAGCAGUAGGGAAUCUUCCGCAAUGGGCGAAAGCCUGACGGAGCAACGCCGCGUGAGUGAUGAAGGUCUUCGGAUCGUAAAACUCUGUUAUUAGGGAAGAACAAAUGUGUAAGUAACUAUGCACGUCUUGACGGUACCAAAUCAGAAAGCCACGGCUAACUACGUG